AGCAUGUUUCCUAUAGUGGGGUAGUCCAGGACCAGUAUGCACAGCCUCAGAAAACAAGGACAUCCAUUUAGAACAGAGAUGAGGAGAACAAGACAGAGGUGCAGGAAACAGAGGAGAUAUGAUUGAUAACAAUCAGAGCUGUAUUGGACAGGACAUCUCAAGCAGGUACUGGUUCACAAAAUUUCCAGGGUCCGGAUCCAGCAAAGCUGAGUACCAGCAUGUGAGAUCUUGUGAUUGUUUCUGGUUAAAACAAAAACCUCUACAAAAGGGAUCGGCUUAUACAAAGGUGGCUGGGGUCCAGUCAGAGUCCAUUAUCUACAGCUGCGCUCAAACUACAUUCUUCAGAACUCAUCAAGUGACCUGCGUUUCAGGAUCUCCAGGAGCGGCUUGGAAGACUUGCAACUUUGGGGUGUGGACCUGUGUGGACCUUAUGGACGACCCGAUCCCCUGUCGAUGUCACCAACUGAAGCGUCGCAGGAAAUCAAAACAUCAAAGCAGUGGCUGUGACUGUCAGAAGCCUCUGCACUUGAGUGAUCUCUCUCUCUCUUCCCCUCUUUCAUUCUCUCUUUCCAUGGUAUAGAGAGAGUCUGCUGGUUCUAGAGUCAGGAGAACUCAAAAUAUGCAACAGUGCAGAUCGUAACAUCAAAACAGUGAGCUGUUAGCCUCCCCUCUCGCUGUGGCAGGAUAUUUCUCUCUCCCUCAUUAGUGAGAGAGAGGGCCUGUUGAGAUGUCGACAUGAUGGGAUGGAAAGCAGUCUUUGAUGGUCUAUAAAUCAUGGUCUCCUGGGGCUUGCUGGGUGGUGGAGCGGACUAAUGCUUUUUGCUGGGACAAGUGGGAGUUUUGGGGUUCUAACGUUUUUCUGUUAUUCAUUUUUGGUUUUUCUCUCUCUCUGUUUUGUGGAUUUCUGCAAAAUGUAAGUAUUUCAGGUUCUGUACUGUCUACAUUUUCUGACAUUAAAUUGAACCAUCGAACAAUAUACAUAAACAAAAACUUAAACUACCAAUGUGCAAAAGACAAACUGCAUAAAUAACUAAUACUGAGAACAUGAGUUACAGAAUCCUUGAAAGUGAGUGCAGAUUGUGGAUUCAGUUCAGAGUUGAGGUGAGUGAGUGAAGUUGCCCACGCUAGUUUCAGGAAUCUGAUGGUGGAGGGUAAUAAUUGUUUCUGAGUUUGGUGGUGGGACCUAAGGCUCCUAUACCUUCUUCUCGAUGAUAGUAUUGAGAACAGGGCAUGGUCUAAAUGGUGGGUGUCCCUGAUGACUGAUUUCAGUUUUCUUUUAUUUUUUUCUUCCUUCAUAUUACUUUGAUCGGAUAGUGCAAAGUUUCUCAAAGCACUUCAUUAGAGUGUUAUUAGACAAAAGCUGCCAUCGAGCUAAUUAGGCAGAAAUCAGUAUAGUUUAAUCAAAGAGUAAUGUUUUAAGAAAUAUCUUAAGGCAAGUAAAGUUCAAGGAGACAACUUCAGGCCUUAAGAAAUGUAGGGAUGAUAUUUGGGAAAGUUAUGGGAUGAGAGAAUGUAGAUCAGGGGAACACGUUAGUAUAGAAGUUAAUAUAACACUUAUAGUACCAGCGACUGGGGCUCAGUUCCAGCACUGCCUAUAAGGAGCUUGUGUGUUCUCCCUCAUGACUAUGUAGGUUUCCUCCAUGUGUUCCAGUUUCCUCCCACAUUUCAAAGACAUACAGGCUAGUCGGUGAAUUGAUCACCUGGGUGUUAAUGACUGAAGGUACCUGUUACCAACCAUGCCAUAUCUAUUAAAAUAAAUCAUGCAUGAGGUACAGGUCAGAUUUGCUGAUUGAAAUUUCCAGGAAGCUGAAGCACUUUCUUCAAUGGCCUUCUGUCCUCUCCUGUCAGGUGCCCCCUUCUCGAGCCCUGUAUCUCUUUCACAAAUCAACUUGCCAGUUCUUCAUUUCACCUUGUGUUUUUCCCUCCUCUUCCCCCACUUUCUAACUCCGACUCCUCAUUCUUUUUUCACCAGUCUUGCUAAAGGGCCUCGGCCCAAAAUGUCAACUUUACACUUAUCCACAGAUGCUGCCUGGUGUGCUGAGUUCCUCCAACAUUUUGCAUGACUCUUGAAAUUAACCUGCCUAUUUCAGAUACUGAAGUACCUGAGAGUCUAAAUCACCAAAGCCACAAGAACCUGACUGUACCACAGACUAUGCCAAAUACGAGCUUUAAAUUUAAAAACUGUGGACAAUAUUGUGCUUGGAAAAUCCUAUGUGUUUUUUCUUGUUCUCAACUUCAAACCGUGUAACAAAUUGUAAUUAUUGGCAGAACGUACCAGAGAAAUAGUUCAUGAAUAUGUAUAACAUGUUCAGUUCUAACUUCUCCUCGUUCUGUGUCUAAUGGUGCAGAACAUUCACUCUGUUUCUCCUCUACAGGAGCUGCCUUAUGUGGAGUAUAUCCAGAAUUUUCUGCUGUUAUUUCAAUUCUCCACAUUCUGGAGUUUUUUCUUUGCUUUUCAAACAAUAUUUCCACAAUGAUCUAAAAUUUGGACUUUCAUAGUAAAGUCAAAGUAAAUAUAUUAUCUAAAUAUGUACACGUCACCAUAUACUACCUUAUGAUUCAAUU